AACUGCCUGAACUCAGUCUCCUCACAGGUCAGAGAGAGAGAGAGAGAAGAGUUACAGCCACUUUAGUACAAUCAUGCAAAAUGUAAGGAUGCAGGAAAAAGGGAAUUUUGGGAAAUGCUAAGUACUUCUGGGGGAUGAAGUCCAAAGCUCUAAGAUUCUCUAUUUCCUAUAAGAAGGCAGAAGAAGAAGGAAAAGGGUUAAGAGAACUUUAGUGGGAACAGUGAAUGGCAUAAGUACUGAAUGGCAGUCUUGAGCUAACAAUGACUUUUUCAUUAGCAUACAUGAUUAUCAACAAUCAUGUCUCAUCACAAUGAAUAGUGAGUGAUUAGUUCUUUGCCAAAGUCAAAUACUUUGCUCACCUGUCAGGGAACUACCUCUGCCACAGAGACCUAUAUUCAUGCUCACUUGCACUCUGUCCAUCUAGUCAUCUGUCUUUAGUGAUCACCCCUUGCAUGUACAGAUUCUGUGGCAAUGGGCACUCAAAAGGAUGAGAGAGGAAUAAAGUCAGGGAAAUUUGGAUACACAAAAGAUCAUCAGGAAAGAAAUGAUCUCAGCAUGGAUCCAUUCUCAUCUGUACUCAUUCCUGUCUUAGUCUGUUGAAAGCUAACGGUCAGGAGAGACCAUCAAAGAGAACAGGCAUAAUUAAAAACAUACAGGGGUUCAGCUGCAGUUCAGGAAGGUGGCUCAGAAGAUAUUCGAGGGAUUGCAAAGAAAAUCUCCUGCCAGUAAGAUAUUUGACUUGUAUUUUUGUUUUGUCUUUGGACUGGUUUUUGAUUUGG
rnacentral:lncRNA from 1 species